ensembl:snRNA U6 U6 spliceosomal RNA
GUGCUCGAUUCGGCAGCACAUAUACUAAAGUUGGAACGAUACAGAGAAGAUUAGCUCGGCCCCUGAGCAAGGAUGACAGGCAAAUUCGUGAAGCUUCCAUAUUUUUU